rnacentral:rRNA from 1 species
UACGGGGGGGGGCAAGCGUUGUUCGGAAUUACUGGGCGUAAAGGGCUCGUAGGCGGCCAACUAAGUCGGAUGUGAAAUCCCCAAGCUUAACUUGGGAACUGCAUCCGAUACUGGAUGGCUUGAAUCCGGGAGAGGGAUGCAGAAUUCCAGGUGUAGCGGUGAAAUGCGUAGAUAUCUGGAGGAAUACCGGUGGCGAAGGCGGCAUCCUGGACCGGCAUUGACGCUGAUGAGCGAAAAGCUAGGGGAGCAAACGGGG